rnacentral:rRNA from 1 species
UACCUGGCGACAGGAUGCCAAUCCCCAAAACCUCUCUCAGUUCGGAUCGAAGUCUGCAACCCGACUUCGUGAAGCUGGAUUCGCUAGUAAUCGCGCAUCAGCCAUGGCGCGGUGAAUACGGUUCCCGGGCCUUGUACACACCGCCCGUCAAGCCAUGAAAGCCGGGGGUACCUGAAGUACGUAACCGCAAGGAUCGUCCUAGGGUAAAACUGGUAAUUGGGGCUAAGUCGUAACAAGGUAGC